UUUAGAUUGAAAUAAACUGUACAAAAUUGAUUUUCUUCACCAAAAAUAAUAGCAAUAUUUUGUGUAUUAUUCCUGGAUAAACCACAAAACACUUAUUUUUGUAGGCUUUCCAGGUUCUGCUUAUAAAUCAAGAUGAGGCAGUAGAUAUAGUCAUGGAAAUAGAAGAAAUCAGGCAAAUCAGUUGUCAGUAUCCAUGACCUCUGAUUCUGUCUUGAACAUGAAACAGAAAUGUUCAACACAUAGCUACUAAAAAGCUUAUGAAGGCAUAGGCUCAAUAAAGGAAUGUAAACAUCAACAACCAGAUGCAGAAAAAGGAAGAAUGCAUAAGACCUUCAACAAAGCAUGAACAUCAGGAAGAAAUGAUGUCAGGCAGAUGGAGGGCUUCAUAAAUGGUGGAAGGAAGCUCUAUAUGUUUCCCUCUGUGUUUCCACUUAAUUCUCAAACAAUGAAGCUCAGCUGAGAGUGUGUCAGGAUUGAGUAAGUCAUUUCUGUACAAGUCAGCAUGGUGUUCCUCUGACAUAUUGAAUUUGAGCUGUCCCAUGACAGAGGGUACCAGAGAUAAGUACUUAAGAGUUUGAGGUGCUGUUCUGAGAAUUUAUCUUUAAGUUACUGAAUAAUGUGCUCCAAUGUUGGAACACUUAGGGUUUCCUUAUAGUAACUCUCAGAGGUUAAUUGAGAUUCCAGGUUACCUUGCUGAGCUCUGUGGAAUUUGCCAGGGAGUUUCAUAAGAAUAUCAAGUUUGGUUGCCUAAUUUGUGUCUUCCUCAAACCAAAAUUCAUGACAAACUUCAAUAUUUUCCACCACUUCAUUAAGUGACUGUGUCACUGCAGUCAAGCUGCUGGCUGCAAAGAAGACAUCAGAGGUUUGCCCCUGGAGAUUUUUCCCAAAGGUUCUUGUAAAAGACAGGACAUUCUUAAGAACAACAAUGGUAAUAAUGAAAUCAAAAUCUGUUACUGCACUACAGAGUACAAAUGCUUGGCCAGCUUUGCAGUUAUUCCAUCUAACAUUUGUGUCACUAUUUAUACCAUCUAAACAUAAAACAAGUGCUUGCAGGAGUUCCACUAAAAUUUCAAAAGCAUCAUGACUUCCUGUCCAUUGAGAAUGUCAAAUUUCCUUCAGUUUCAGUGCAUUUCUUCAUCACUCUGAAAAAGGACUGAAAUUAUACUCUCAAGUUCUAAAAGCAGUUGCAGUGAUCGAUGGAAAAAAGAAGAAACUUCCUCAAUCAUUUCCAAUGCAACAGAUACUCCCAUAACAGGCACUGAUUUUGCUAACCACAUAUUUAAGGCACAGGAAGAGCAGAGUGUAUAGAUAGUUUGGGGAUAUUUCUCUAGAAGUCUAGAAGCAACAACUUUCAUCUUGGAAGAAAAUCCACUGGACACAAUGUAAAUCUGUCUACAACAGUACUCCAUGUUUAGCCCCCACUUCUCAGUUAUUGUAGUGUGAAAAUUCACAGCCAAAAAUUUGGCAUCGGCUUCAUAAGGCAGGAAUCCCACAAAUUCCUCUCUCAGGUUAUGUGAUUCACCCACAAACCUCACCAACACUGGCAGGCGCUCUUCUUCUGCUAUGUCAACCAAAUCAUCAGUGAUAAUGGAAAAGAAGUGUGAGUCUCCCACUUCCCUGAGAGUUUUCUCGUGAAGGCAGCUCUCACAUAUCUCUAGCAUCUGUUUCUGCUGUGUUUUUGAACAGAACAAUGUGUUAACUUCUGUUGUCUCAAAGUGCUUUCUCAGAACAUUUUCCCAGAAUUUACUCAGCCCUCCAGCAAUGCUUGAAAGUUAUCAGGAGUAAAGAGACUUUCUGGGAGUUCAUCAGCCUCAUGCCCAUCCAGAGUGUCCUGAUUUCAUCUUCACUCUGGCAGGGUCCCACAGGAAGCUGAAGAAGACUAGGUCAGACUGCGUGCUCCUCCACGUGCCAUUGGGGGCAGUGCAGAAGUUCAGCAUUGUCGCCCACCCACCGGUGGGCCCAGUACUUCCUUCCCUGCAUCCUCAGGGCAGCCCACCAUCCCACUGGGGCCAGGGAGGGGAGCCAGGCCAGCCAGCCAGCUUGGCAGGGCUGACCAUAUACAUAUUUUUAAUUGUU